GGCUGGUCCAAUGGUAAUGUGUUAUCCAAAUUUAUUAACAUUAGUGUCACUAAGAUUGCUAUGCAACUCCCCACUGCUAAGUUUGAUUUGUCUUUU
ensembl:misc_RNA Y_RNA Y RNA